rnacentral:misc_RNA from 1 species
CAGGUGGUUAGAGCGCGCCCCUGAUAAGGGCGAGGUCCCUGGUUCAAGUCCAGGAUGGCCCAUCUGACCCCUUAUUGUAAAAAGCGGGCAAAAUUCAGCACUGUCUUUUAAGUCAAAAAAAGAGACUGCUGGACUAUUAAUGUCCUAGCAACAGCACCUUGAAAACUGCAUAGAAAAGAAAAAGGUUAGCAAUAAUUAAGAAAUUAACCA